CCGAACCGACUAAUGUUGAAAAAUUAGCGGAUGACCUGUGGCUGGGGGUGAAAGGCCAAUCAAACCGGGAGAUAGCUGGUUCUCCCCGAAAGCUAUUUAGGUAGCGCCUCGUGAAUUCAUCUCCGGGGGUAGAGCACUGUUUCGGCUAGGGGGCCAUCCCGGCUUACCAACCCGAUGCAAACUGCGAAUACCGGAGAAUGUUAUCACGGGAGACACACGGCGGGUGCUAACGUCCGUCGUGAAGAGGGAAACAACCCAGACCGCCAGCUAAGGUCCCAAAGUCAUGGUUAAGUGGGAAACGAUGUGGGAAGGCCCAGACAGCCAGGAUGUUGGCUUAGAAGCAGCCAUCAUUUAAAGAAAGCGUAAUAGCUCACUGGUCGAGUCGGCCUGCGCGGAAGAUGUAACGGGGCUAAACCAUGCACCGAAGCUGCGGCAGCGACACUGUGUGUUGUUGGGUAGGGGAGCGUUCUGUAAGCCUGUGAAGGUGUGUCGUGAGGCAUGCUG
rnacentral:rRNA from 1 species